AGUGAACGCUGGCGGUAGGCCUAACACAUGCAAGUCGAACGGCAGCACAGUAAGAGCUUGCUCUUACGGGUGGCGAGUGGCGGACGGGUGAGGAAUACAUCGGAAUCUACUUUUUCGUGGGGGAUAACGUAGGGAAACUUACGCUAAUACCGCAUACGACCUACGGGUGAAAGCAGGGGAUCUUCGGACCUUGCGCGAUUGAAUGAGCCGAUGUCGGAUUAGCUAGUUGGCGGGGUAAAGGCCCACCAAGGCGACGAUCCGUAGCUGGUCUGAGAGGAUGAUCAGCCACACUGGAACUGAGACACGGUCCAGACUCCUACGGGAGGCAGCAGUGGGGAAUAUUGGACAAUGGGCGCAAGCCUGAUCCAGCCAUACCGCGUGGGUGAAGAAGGCCUUCGGGUUGUAAAGCCCUUUUGUUAGGAAAGAAAAGCAGCAGGUUAAUACCCCGAUGUUCUGACGGUACCCAAAGAAUAAGCACCGGCUAACUUCGUG
rnacentral:rRNA from 1 species